UACGGAGGGUGCAAGCGUUAUCCGGAUUCACUGGGUUUAAAGGGUGCGUAGGAGGGCAGGUAAGUCAGUGGUGAAGUCUUCGAGCUUAACUCGGAAACUGCCGUUGAUACUAUCUGUCUUGAAUAUUGUGGAGGUGAGCGGAAUAUGUCAUGUAGCGGUGAAAUGCUUAGAUAUGACAUAGAACACCAAUUGCGAAGGCAGCUCGCUACACAUAUAUUGACUCUGAGGCACGAAAGCGUGGGGAUCAAACAGG
rnacentral:rRNA from 1 species